UACGUAGGGCGCAAGCGUUAUCCGGAAUUAUUGGGCGUAAAGAGCUCGUAGGCGGUUUGUCGCGUCGGCUGUGAAAACUCGGGGCUCAACCCCGAGCCUGCAGUCGAUAUCGGGGCAGACUGGAGUGCUGUAGGGGAGACUGGAAUUCCUGGUGUAGCGGUGAAAAUGCGCAGAUAUCAGGAGGAACACCGGUGGCGAAGGCAGCUCACUGGGACGGUACUGACGCUGAGACGCGAAAGCGUGGGGGAGCAAACAGG
rnacentral:rRNA from 1 species